CCAAAUCCUACAAUUUUAUUCUUCAACAGAAAUAAAUAGGUUGAGGGUCGGUUCCACCCACCAACAUAAUCUUUGCUUUUCAACUCAAAUGUCCUUCUCUCUCUCCCUUUUCUUAUUCCCUUUUCCCACUUGUAGGUCUGCUGAAUGGAAUUUCAUCAACGUAGAUGUGUUCAGUCCAACAAUUUGACUUUUCCUUUACAAUAAUAAUCAAAGGGACUGUUCGUUUGCCUCUAAUGUCUCGAAUGCGUAUUUGAAUUCAACCCAAUUUGAUUUAUCCAAUCGUUACCUCGAAGCUAUACUUGAUGUGACGACGCUGAAUCCUCUCUGCUCUUGCGAGAGAGAGAGAGAGAGAAAGAGGGAGGGAGAGGGAGGUUCAGUCCGACGAGUUACUUCGUCGAGGAAUCAAUCAUUCACCGGAUUCGAUAAGACCGAUCUCCACCAUUCCUGGACUAAAGGUACUCAUUUAUUUGUUUGUUUAUCGUUUAAUAAUGUAUGUAUAUUUCUACGUGUGUGUUUUGUAGGCUCAAGCGACGAGGAGUCUGCAAGGAAGUUGAUAUAUUAUAUUGACUGUAUCAUUGAUGCCAUUCUAAUGAUAAUUGAUUGCUUUGGGGGGGAUGAAAUAAUAAAUCUAAUGAAUAUAUUAUUAAUUUCUGUGGAUUCUCCCCUGACUGUGUGCGUCGGCAUUGGAUUGCCAACUAAAAAUAUUGAAAAGAAAAAUCAUCAAAGUAUAAAAAUAUAUAUAUCUGACUCAAGGAGGGAAAGUUCAUGAUAGGACAAAGUUCAAGGCACUUCCAUUUUUGGAAUUGAUGAUCCCAUAUAUCAUGCAUUGCCACAAACAAGAUCAUUAUUUUCUUUUAUCGGUAAACAACAAUAAUAGUUAUAAUAUCAAGAGUAAUCAUUCACAAAAUGUUAUAAAUAUAUCAACCUACUUUCCAAAACAAUCUUGUACUCUCUCUAUUAUAUUAUUUUUAUUUGUUUUUAGUGGCCAAAAGUCGGCCUUUGACCAAUGGGUGGAAAAAUAAUAAUAAAUAACACAUUUUUUUCGAUAUGUAAAUUUAAAAAAAAAAAGUAAAACAUAUUAAAAACGCUUAAAAGG
rnacentral:lncRNA from 1 species